GGCGAACGGGUGAGUAACACGUGGGCAACCUGCCCUCAGCUCUGGGAUAACUCCAAGAAAUUGGGGCUAAUACCGGAUAUUUCCGCUGACCGCAUGGUCUGGUGGUGGAAAGAUUUAUCGGCUGGGGAUGGGCUCGCGGCUAUCAGCUUGUUGGUGGGGUAACGGCCCACCAAGGCUCCGACGGGUAGCUGGUCUGAGAGGACGAUCAGCCACACUGGGACUGAGACACGGCCAGACUCCUACGGGAGGCAGCAGUGGGGAAUCUUGCGCAAUGGGCGAAAGCCUGACGCAGCAACGCCGCGUGGGGGAUGAAUGCCUUCGGGUUGUAAACCCCUUUCAGCAGGGACGAAAUUGACGGUACCUGCAGAAGAAGCCCCGGCCAACUACGUGCCAGCAGCCGCGG
rnacentral:rRNA from 1 species